CAGAUUAUGUCACAAAUGAAGUAUUGAAAGAGAUUCUGACGCAUGGAAUGGCCAGCACAAAUGCCUGUAACUUUUAUAUCAGAUAUCUUUUCAAGAACUUCAUAGCCCCUGGUGGCCUUGAUGACAAGUUCAAGAUUAUCAGCCCCCACACUUUUGCUGGCCACGGACCUAAUAUGAAGAAAGACUUAUCCAGA